rnacentral:rRNA from 1 species
UACGGAGGGUGCGAACGUUGCUCGGAAUCAUUGGGCGUAAAGCGCACGUAGGCUGCGAAGAAAGUUGGGUGUGAAAGCCCUGGGCUCAACCCAGGAAGUGCAUUCAAAACUACUUCGCUUGAAUCUCGGAGGGGGUCAGAGAAUUCCCGGUGUAGAGGUGAAAUUCGUAGAUAUCGGGAGGAACACCAGUGGCGAAGGCGGUUGCCUGGAGCUUUGCUGACGCUGAUGCGCGAAAGCGUGGGGAGCGAUCCGG